AUGAGCUUCUUUCAGGUUGGAGGACAUAAUGUCAUCCGCUACUAAACCCUAUGUACUGUAUGUUGUGUAAUGCAUAUAUAAUUAAUUAAAAACUUUCUAAAAAUAUUCCCAUAGCAAGUUAUCUUAACAGAAAUUAUAUACACCAUACAACACAUAAUUUCGAUAUGGUUUUUAUUCAUUUAUUUAUUUAUUUAUUCAUUCAUUCAUUCAUUUUUAUAUUUUUUUUAAAGCAAAAUCUGCAGAAAGAGCCACACCUGAAUACCAUAAUGAUUUCUCCAGCACUAAAGGCCCAACAGGUGAGUGACUUCAGCUGAUGGGUUUCACUUCUUUAACCUUUUGUGCCUGUGAACGGUAAAUCUGUUUCUGUUUAUAGACCUUAGUCAAGGUAGAUAGCAUAUUGUAUGCGGAUGAAAAUGAGGAUGUGAGGGACAGACUUACAGUCUUAACAGUGGCAUGCACUGUACAAAGGUCCUAGAUCACAUCAUUUUCAAAAAGUUUUUGAUUACUGAAAGUUUUUUGGAAAGAUGUGUUUCCAGUUGAACAAUUAGUAUGUUGAUCAACAAUAGUACAAUUAAUUGCACACCCUGUACUUCUAUCCCAUCUUUCCCUUCUGCUCUGACUAAAGUCUGUUCUCUCUGUUUUUAACUCAUUUAGAAAAGCAACAAAUCACACCAGAGAACUAUGAUGAUGUAAUCACUGUUGGACUGAGACAUGCUACAGGUUUAGUUCUUAUAAUUAUUUCAACACUAUGUAUAUUAUUUUUAAUUGUAUAUAUGCAUAGUUUCAAUAUCCAAAAUUUUGUUCAUUUGAUGGAUGCAUUUCAUUUUUCAUUAUUUUGUUGUAGUUGAAUCACCAGAAAACUAUGAUGAUGUCGUCAUCAUACAACAGUUCUCCAAUGAUAAAGCAGAGGCUGUUCAGGAGGAGUAUGAUGAUGUGAAGAAUGUCAGAGAAUAUAUGAGUGACAUGUUUGACUAUGAUGAUGUGGAGGAGGAUCCAGGAAAACAGGCAGGAGCUGUAUAACUCAAACCUCACACACUGCCUCAAAUCCUUUUAAAGCUUUUAAAGUUUUAGCAAUCUUACUGUAUAAGUUUCAGUUGCAGGCUAACAGUGUUUUGUUACAUUCUGUA
ensembl:lncRNA